rnacentral:rRNA from 1 species
GUGGGGAAUCUUCCGCAAUGGACGAAAGUCUGACGGAGCAACGCCGCGUGAGUGAAGAAGGUUUUCGGAUCGUAAAGCUCUUUCGUUAGGGACGAACGUGCUCUUUGUAAAUAAUGAGGAGUAAUGACGGUACCUAAAUAAGAAGCCACGGCUAACUACGUGCCAGCAGCCGCGGUAAUACGUAGGUGGCAAGCGUUGUCCGGAAUUAUUGGGCGUAAAGCGCGCGCAGGCGGGAUAUCAAGUCUGUCUUAAAAGUGCGAGGCUCAACCUCGUGAGGGGACAGAAACUGGGAUUCUUGAGUGUCGGAGAGGAAAGUGGAAUUCCAAGUGUAGCGGUGAAAUGCGUAGAGAUUUGGAAGAACACCAGUGGCGAAGGCGACUUUCUGGACGAUGUCUGACGCUGAGGCGCGAAAGCUAGGGGAGCGAACGGGAUUAGAAACCCUAGUAGUCC